UGGCAAAACAUCCUAAAAGGAGAUUGC
rnacentral:piRNA from 1 species